rnacentral:rRNA from 1 species
CAGCCGCCGCGGUAAUACAGAGGGUGCAAGCGUUAAUCGGAACUACUGGGCGUAAAGCGCGCGUAGGUGGUUCGCCAAGUUGGAUGUGAAAUCCCCGGGCUCAACCUGGGAACUGCAUCCAAAACUGGCGAGCUAGAGUAUGGUAGAGGGUGGUGGAAUUUCCUGUGUAGCGGUGAAAUGCGUAGAUAUAGGAAGGAACAUCAGUGGCGAAGGCGACCACCUGGACUGAUACUGACACUGGGGUGCGAAAGCGUGGGGAGCAAACAGGAUUAGAUACCCCUGUAGUCCCUGUCUCUUAUAA